rnacentral:rRNA from 1 species
UACGAAGGGGGCUAGCGUUGUUCGGAAUUACUGGGCGUAAAGCGCGCGCAGGCGGCUAUCCAAGUCAGUGGUGAAAGCCCGGAGCUCAACUCCGGAACUGCCAUUGAAACUGUUUAGCUGGAGUAUGAGAGAGGUGAGUGGAAUUCCCAGUGUAGAGGUGAAAUUCGUAGAUAUUGGGAAGAACACCGGUGGCGAAGGCGGCUCUCUGGACCGAGACUGACGCUGAGGCGCGAAAGCGUGGGGAGCAAACAGG